GGGAUACUCCGGGAAAACCGGAGCUAAUACCGGAUAGUUCCUUGAACCGCAUGGUUCAAGGAUGAAAGACGGUUUCGGCUGUCACUUACAGAUGGACCCGCGGCGCAUUAGCUAGUUGGUGAGGUAACGGCUCACCAAGGCGACGAUGCGUAGCCGACCUGAGAGGGUGAUCGGCCACACUGGGACUGAGACACGGCCCAGACUCCUACGGGAGGCAGCAGUAGGGAAUCUUCCGCAAUGGACGAAAGUCUGACGGAGCAACGCCGCGUGAGUGAUGAAGGUUUUCGGAUCGUAAAGCUCUGUUGUUAGGGAAGAACAAGUGCAAGAGUAACUGCUUGCACCUUGACGGUACCUAACCAGAAAGCCACGGCUAACUACGUGCCAGCAGCCGCGGUAAUACGUAGGUGGCAAGCGUUGUCCGGAAUUAUUGGGCGUAAAGGGCUCGCAGGCGGUUUCUUAAGUCUGAUGUGAAAGCCCCCGGCUCAACCGGGGAGGGUCAUUGGAAACUGGGAAACUUGAGUGCAGAAGAGGAGAGUGGAAUUCCACGUGUAGCGGUGAAAUGCGUAGAGAUGUGGAGGAACACCAGUGGCGAAGGCGACUCUCUGGUCUGUAACUGACGCUGAGGAGCGAAAGCGUGGGGAGCGAACAGGAUUAGAUACCCUGGUAGUCCACGCCGUAAACGAUGAGUGCUAAGUGUUAGGGGGUUUCCGCCCCUUAGUGCUGCAGCUAACGCAUUAAGCACUCCGCCUGGGGAGUACGGUCGCAAGACUGAAACUCAAAGGAAUUGACGGGGGCCCGCACAAGCGGUGGAGCAUGUGGUUUAAUUCGAAGCAACGCGAAGAACCUUACCAGGUCUUGACAUCCUCUGACAACCCUAGAGAUAGGGCUUUCCCUUCGGGGACAGAGUGACAGGUGGUGCAUGGUUGUCGUCAGCUCGUGUCGUGAGAUGUUGGGUUAAGUCCCGCAACGAGCGCAACCCUUGAUCUUAGUUGCCAGCAUUCAGUUGGGCACUCUAAGGUGACUGCCGGUGACAAACCGGAGGAAGGUGGGGAUGACGUCAAAUCAUCAUGCCCCUUAUGACCUGGGCUACACACGUGCUACAAUGGACAGAACAAAGGGCUGCGAGACCGCAAGGUUUAGCCAAUCCCACAAAUCUGUUCUCAGUUCGGAUCGCAGUCUGCAACUCGACUGCGUGAAGCUGGAAUCGCUAGUAAUCGCGGAUCAGCAUGCCGCGGUAAUCUACCCC
rnacentral:rRNA from 1 species